GGUGUAGGCGGAACGGUAAGUACCUUGUGAAAGCCCCGGGCUCAACCCGGGAAUUGCUGGGUAUACUAUCGUUCUUGAGGCAGGUAGGGGUCACUGGAACCUUAGGUGGAGCGGUGAAAUGCGUAGAUAUCUAAGGGAACGCCUGUGGCGAAAGCGGGUGACUGGGCCUGUACUGACGCUGAGACCCGAAAGCGUAGGGAGCGAACG
rnacentral:rRNA from 1 species